rnacentral:rRNA from 1 species
AACGAACGCUGGCGGCAUGCCUAACACAUGCAAGUCGAACGAGACCUUCGGGUCUAGUGGCGCACGGGUGCGUAACGCGUGGGAACCUGCCCUUAGGUUCGGAAUAACUCCCCGAAAGGGGUGCUAAUACCGGAUAAUGUCUUCGGACCAAAGAUUUAUCGCCUUUGGAUGGGCCCGCGUUGGAUUAGCUAGUUGGUAGGGUAAAAGCCUACCAAGGCGACGAUCCAUAGCUGGUCUGUGAGGAUGAUCAGCCACACUGGGACUGAGACACGGCCCAGACUCCUACGGGAGGCAGCAGUGGGGAAUAUUGGACAAUGGGCGAAAGCAUGAUCCAGCAAUGCCGCGUGAGUGAUGAAGGCCUUAGGGUUGUAAAGCUCUUUUACCCGGGAUGAUAAUGACAGUACCGGGAGAAUAAGCUCCGGCUAACUCCGUG